UUACGGCCAUAUCACGUUGAAACAUUGGUUUCCGUACGAUCACCGAAGUUAAGCAACGUCAAACCUGGUCAGUACCUAGAUGGGUGUCCGCUUCGGAAAACCAGAUGCU